CAGGAAGCGUUUCGUCGUUCCUCUUCUCUAUUGGCUCCUGAGGAACCUUGCGGCACUCCGCCCGCCCACACGGGGCCGACUGUGCCCCUCAAUUGGUUGCCGGUAGUAGCUUCCCACGGCCCUCCAGCCAAUAGAAUCUCCAGGGGAGUGGACAAAUUUUCCACGUGGCGCCCUGGGUCCCGGCCCCCUCGUGGGCGGAGCCGUGGGGGGAGUUGGGCAUAGGGAGGGCGUGGCCUGUGAUGGACAGUCGGUGCACCCGCCCUCGGCCCCCUCCCCCACCGAAGCCCCCGCUCGGGUGCCCCAGCCCCUAUUCUAGAGUCCCGCCGCUGGUCGGAAACCAAUGGGAGGCUCUUGCGCGUCUGGGAUCGAUUUUCCAGGUGCGGAGUUCACAACCGCAGCAGCUGCAGCGUUUCUGAUCCGCGGCGCCCUGGAGUCAGGCGCGGAGCCCCAGAGAGAGUUGCGCAGAGCGGACCCGACUGUGACCCCCGCCACGCCGCACCUUCCCGGCCGGCAGUGGGCGAGCCUGGGGAUCUGCAUCUCCGGCCCGGGUCUACGCGGCUCGCCCUGGCUCCUUCUCUCCCUUGGCACACGCCCAAGGCUGAAGACAGACCGAGGCGAGAGCGCACCGGUCCAGGAGGUGACCUUGGGCUCCGGGCUGAAUCAUAGAAGAAAUUAGUUACUCCGCGAGAUGAAGCCAGAGGACGAGAGACCGAUUAUAGAUCGCGAAAAGGCCAGUCGGAGAGUGAGUUACCUUCCCCGGGUGCUGUGUGCGCAACACCUGCCUGGAGGACCUUCAGCGCUCACCUACCAUCCUUGCUGCGCUCGGCGCGUGGUGUGCGCGGGGGAGGCUCCCGGGCGCGUGGUUUGUUAGAGAACACCCUUUAGAAAGGGCGUGCUAUUAACUGGUUUUCAGUAACAGUUUAAAACCCAACACUUUUCUGUUCGUCGGAUGUUGAGGAGUUUGAUGCUGGAGAGGUAAAGUGAAAGCUGACUUGUUUUGUAAGAUCCCUAAUUGCCCAGUUCGAGUAAAUUAGCUGUCCUGAAAAGGUCCUCAAGAAUUGAUGCGUCGACCCCUUCAUGGUCUAUCCAGGUCCUGCGGUGGUGUUUUGUUGUUGUCGUUUGCUUUUGAAGAACUAUUGUGAGUUCAUUUAAAUUAUGCAAGUAAUUUUAGUGUGGUCUCUUAAAAACAGGACACAAAUAUUUAGCACGGAAAGCAAAUCUAUUUUCCAAUGUUUUUCUGCUCAUAUUCACAGAUCUUCAUUCAUUCAGCAAAUACUUACUGAAAACUUAUCAUUUCUCAGGCACAGUUUUGGAAAAGGAAAUGCAGUGGUGUUCAUAUAUCUGUUAUGUUAAUGCAUAUCUGUAUCUCCAGAGAAAUCUUUUAGGUUCUUGUGUAUGUGGUUUUGUUGCAGGAAGAGGGACCCCUUCCAGGGCCCGAAACUGGGCUCUUG
rnacentral:lncRNA from 1 species